rnacentral:rRNA from 1 species
UACGGAGGGAGCUAGCGUUGUUCGGAAUUACUGGGCGUAAAGCGCGCGUAGGCGGCUUUGUAAGUUAGAGGUGAAAGCCCGGGGCUCAACCCCGGAACUGCCUUUAAGACUGCAUCGCUUGAAUCCGGGAGAGGUGAGUGGAAUUCCGAGUGUAGAGGUGAAAUGCGUAGAUAUCGGGAGGAACACCAGUGGCGAAGGCGACUACCUGGCCUGUUCUUGACGCUGAGGCGCGAAAGCUAGGGGAGCAAACGGG